rnacentral:rRNA from 1 species
GAUGAACGCUGGCGGCGUGCUUAACACAUGCAAGUCGAACGAAGCACUCUAUUUGAUUUUCUUCGGAAAUGAAGAUUUUGUGACUGAGUGGCGGACGGGUGAGUAACGCGUGGGUAACCUGCCUCAUACAGGGGGAUAACAGUUGGAAACGACUGCUAAUACCGCAUAAGCGCACGGUAUCGCAUGGUACAGUGUGAAAAACUCCGGUGGUAUGAGAUGGACCCGCGUCUGAUUAGCCAGUUGGUGGGGUAACGGCCUACCAAAGCAACGAUCAGUAGCCGACCUGAGAGGGUGACCGGCCACAUUGGGACUGAGACACGGCCCAAACUCCUACGGGAGGCAGCAGUGGGGAAUAUUGCACAAUGGGGGAAACCCUGAUGCAGCGACGCCGCGUGAACGAAGAAGUAUUUCAGUAUGUAAAGUUCUAUCAGCAGGGAAGAUAAUGACGGUACCUGACUAAGAAGCACCGGCUAAAUACGUG